GCUUAACACAUGCAAGUCGAACGGAGUACCCUCCGAAAGAUAUUUCGGUCAAUGGAGAGGACUACUUAGUGGCGGACGGGUGAGUAACGCGUGAGGAACCUGGCUUUCAGUGGGGGACAACAGUUGGAAACGACCGCUAAUACCGCAUAACGUACUGGUAUCGCAUGGGACUGGUACCAAAGAUUUAUCGCUGAGAGAUGGCCUCGCGUCUGAUUAGCUAGGUGGUAGGGUAACGGCCUACCAAGGCGACUAUCAGUAGCCGGACUGAGAGGUUGGCCGGCCACAUUGGGACUGAGAUACGGCCCAGACUCCUACGGGAGGCAGCAGUGGGGAAUAUUGGGCAAUGGGCGUAAGCCUGACCCAGCAACGCCGCGUGAAGGAAGAAGGCCCUCGGGUUGUAAACUUCUUUUAUUCGGGACGAAACAAAUGACGGUACCGAAUGAAUAAGCCACGGCUAACUACGUGCCAGCAGCCGCGGUAAUACGUAGGUGGCAAGCGUUAUCCGGAUUUACUGGGUGUAAAGGGCGUGCAGGCGCGAGAGCAAGUCAGACGUGAAAUUCCAGGGCUCAACCCUGGAACUGCGUUUGAAACUGUUCUUCUUGAGUGAUGGAGAGGCAGGCGGAAUUCCGUGUGUAGCGGUGAAAUGCGUAGAUAUACGGAGGAACACCAGUGGCGAAGGCGGCCUGCUGGACAUUAACUGACGCUGAGGCGCGAAAGCGUGGGGAGCAAACAGGAUUAGAUACCCUGGUAGUCCACGCUGUAAACGAUGGAUACUAGGUGUGGGGGGGUCUGGCCCCCUCCGUGCCGCAGCUAACGCAAUAAGUAUCCCACCUGGGGAGUACGAUCGCAAGGUUGAAACUCAAAGGAAUUGACGGGGGCCCGCACAAGCGGUGGAGUAUGUGGUUUAAUUCGAAGCAACGCGAAGAACCUUACCAGGGCUUGACAUCCCGCUGACCGGUGUAGAGAUACACUUUUCCCUUCGGGGACAGCGGUGACAGGUGGUGCAUGGUUGUCGUCAGCUCGUGUCGUGAGAUGUUGGGUUAAGUCCCGCAACGAGCGCAACCCUUAUUGUUAGUUGCUACGCAAGAGCACUCUAACGAGACUGCCGUUGACAAAACGGAGGAAGGUGGGGACGACGUCAAAUCAUCAUGCCCCUUAUGUCCUGGGCCACACACGUACUACAAUGGCGGUCAACAAAGAGAGGCAAAACCGCGAGGUGGAGCAAAUCUCAAAAAGCCGUCCCAGUUCGGAUUGCAGGCUGCAACCCGCCUGCAUGAAGUUGGAAUCGCUAGUAAUCGCGGAUCAGCAUGCCGCGGUGAAUACGUUCCCGGGCCUUGCACUCACCGCCCGUCA
rnacentral:rRNA from 1 species